rnacentral:rRNA from 1 species
ACUCCUACGGGAGGCAGCAGUGGGGAAUAUUGCACAAUGGGCGCAAGCCUGAUGCAGCCAUGCCGCGUGUAUGAAGAAGGCCUUCGGGUUGUAAAGUACUUUCAGCGGGGAGGAAGGCAAUACGGUUAAUAACCGUGUUGAUUGACGUUACCCGCAGAAGAAGCACCGGCUAACUCCGUGCCAGCAGCCGCGGUAAUACGGAGGGUGCAAGCGUUAAUCGGAAUUACUGGGCGUAAAGCGCACGCAGGCGGUCUGUCAAGUCGGAUGUGAAAUCCCCGGGCUCAACCUGGGAACUGCAUUCGAAACUGGCAGGCUUGAGUCUUGUAGAGGGGGGUAGAAUUCCAGGUGUAGCGGUGAAAUGCGUAGAGAUCUGGAGGAAUACCGGUGGCGAAGGCGGCCCCCUGGACAAAGACUGACGCUCAGGUGCGAAAGCGUGGGGAGCAAACAGGAUUAGAAACCCUAGUAGUCCCAUGA